UGGAUACUUUGGUAACUUUUUUUUUGUUGGGGUAUUUUGAUUCAAAAUAUUUUUUUUUUUGGGCAUUUUGGUUCCGGACUCGUUAACUUUUCCACAAGAAAAUAUAGGGACCCCACAACAAAAAGGGUGAGGGUUCAUUAUUUUAUAUAGAGGAAAUAGAUAAAGGCAAAGAAAGAAUAUAGUAGAUAGAGAGAAAAAACGGACAGGAAAAAUUCAUCCAUCAUCUCCUUCAAAUUUUCCACAAACCACCGUGAACAACUCCUCCCCCUCGCCGAAAAAAAAAACCACCGGAAAAUCCAACAAAAACAAAAAAGAAAAAAUAUAUUAUCAUCAUCUUCUUUCAUUUUUUUUUUCCACCUUAAACAGCCACCACCUCAAAAACCCACACCAUCGUUAAACCACUUAAAUCUAAAAUACCCAUUUUCUUUUAACCAAAAUUUCAUUGACAGAGUUGAGUUGAGAUUUCGGGUUUAGAUCUAAAAAAAAAUAUUAGACGCUGUUUUGGUCGGGGUUUCCGGUUCAAAGCUCCGUUUGGCUAUAUCAUUCAAAGGAAAGUGUUAUUUCCCAUAUUGAAAGGGUUCGUGGAAACCCCAGAAGGCACAACAUUGACCGGUGAAGCAGCUAAAGAUUUGGAGAAAAAUAGACAAAUGGAUUAUAAGGCACGUUUCUACCUUGACGGCAAGGUCGAAUUGCAUGUGUACAAUAAAUUUUUACAUGCAAAGUCGGCAAAGGAGGCUUGAAAAUUUUUGGUGAAUUCACAUUGAGGUUCCGCAGACGUAAGAAAAGUCAAAUUGCAAGAGCUUAGAAGACAGUACGAGUUGGCCCAAAUGAAACCUACAGAGUCAGUCAAAGAAUUCUUUACAAGAGUUAUUAAUAUUGUCAACGAUAUGACGACUAAUGGAGAAGCAUUAGACCAAGUUAAAGUUGCUGAAAAAAUAUUGCGGUCCUUGAGUAUAAAAUUUCACACUAAGAAGACAGUUCUUGAGGCAACCAAAGAUCUUAGCACUUUGACACUUGAUGAUUUAGAAGGUGAACUGGUGACAUAUGAGAUGUCCCUGAAUCAACAAACAACUGAAACAGUAGAUGAGGCAUUGCAAGCAAAGGUGAAUCAACCUAAAGAAAAAGAAGAAACAUCAAAUCUGGCUGAAACAAAUCAACGAGGUCACAAUUUCAGAGGUAGAGGACGAGGUGGUAGAGGUGAUUAUCGAGGCCGUGGUAGAGGUAAUUUUUCCUAUCAACAAAGAAAUGAUAAUAAUUUCAGGAGGGAAUAACAGAGUAAUCAAAAUUUUCAAAGACGUGAUAAAUCAAAUGUUCAGUGUUAUAAUUGUGAAAAAUAUGGACAUUAUCAACGUGAUUGUUGGUACAAUGAAUCUGAAAAUAGGGAAGAACAUGCAAAGAUGGCUGAAAAUUAUGGAGAUAAACAAGAGACAUUAUUAUUUUCUAGCUCUGCGACUGAAGAAAAUAAAGGGAAUGAAUGGUUUAUUGAUUCUGGUUGUAGCAAUCAUAUGUCUGGAAAUAAGGAAUUAUUUGUUGAUCUGGAUGAAUCAUUUAAAUCUACAGUAAGACUUGACAUUAAUGCAAAGGUGCCUGCUGUUGGAAGGGGAAAAAUUCCAAUUACAUCGAAAAAUGGAUCUUCUCAUUUUAUAUCAGAGGUAUAUUAUGUUCCGAGUGUUCAUCACAAUUUAUUGAGUUUGGGGCAACUAACAGAAAAAGGUAAUGAUUUGCGUUUUAAGUACGGAAUGGGAACUAUCAUUGAUGAUAAAUAGGACUAAUUGCAAGAAUAAAGAUGAAUAAUAGUCGUUUAUGGCCUCUUUAUCUCAAUCGUGGUGAUUUACCUUCCUUUAGUUCUGUGAAUUGUGAUGAUACUUGG